UUAAGCGACUAAGCGUACACGGUGGAUGCCCUGGCAGUCAGAGGCGAUGAAGGACGUGCUAAUCUGCGAUAAGCGUCGGUAAGGUGAUAUGAACCGUUAUAACCGGCGAUUUCCGAAUGGGGAAACCCAGUGCAAUUCGUUGCACUAUCAUUACGUGAAUACAUAGCGUAAUGAAGCGAACCGGGGGGAACUGAAACAUCUAAGUACCCCGAGGAAAAGAAAUCAACCGAGAUUCCCCCAGUAGCGGCGAGCGAACGGGGAGCAGCCCAGAGUCUGAAUCAGCUUGUGUGUUAGUGGAACGGUCUGGAAAGUCCGACGGUACAGGGUGAUAGUCCCGUACACCAAAACACACAGGUUGUGAACUCGAAGAGUAGGGCGGGACACGUGGUAUCCUGUCUGAAUAUGGGGGGACCAUCCUCCAAGGCUAAAUACUCCUGACUGACCGAUAGUGAACCAGUACCGUGAGGGAAAGGCGAAAAGAACCCCGGCGAGGGGAGUGAAAAAGAACCUGAAACCGUGUACGUACAAGCAGUGGGAGCCUCUUUAUGGGGUGACUGCGUACCUUUUGUAUAAUGGGUCAGCGACUUAUAUUCUGUAGCAAGGUUAACCGAAUAGGGGAGCCGAAGGGAAACCGAGUCUUAACUGGGCGUUAAGUUGCAGGGUAUAGACCCGAAACCCGGUGAUCUAGCCAUGGGCAGGUUGAAGGUUGGGUAACACUAACUGGAGGACCGAACCGACUAAUGUUGAAAAAUUAGCGGAUGACUUGUGGCUGGGGGUGAAAGGCCAAUCAAACCGGGAGAUAGCUGGUUCUCCCCGAAAGCUAUUUAGGUAGCGCCUCGUGAACUCAUCUUCGGGGGUAGAGCACUGUUUCGGCUAGGGGGUCAUCCCGACUUACCAACCCGAUGCAAACUGCGAAUACCGAAGAAUGUUAUCACGGGAGACACACGGCGGGUGCUAACGUCCGUCGUGAAGAGGGAAACAACCCAGACCGCCAGCUAAGGUCCCAAAGUCAUGGUUAAGUGGGAAACGAUGUGGGAAGGCACAGACAGCCAGGAUGUUGGCUUAGAAGCAGCCAUCAUUUAAAGAAAGCGUAAUAGCUCACUGGUCGAGUCGGCCUGCGCGGAAGAUGUAACGGGGCUAAACCAUGCACCGAAGCUGCGGCAGCGACACUAUGUGUUGUUGGGUAGGGGAGCGUUCUGUAAGCCGUUGAAGGUGGCCUGUGAGGGUUGCUGGAGGUAUCAGAAGUGCGAAUGCUGACAUAAGUAACGAUAAUGCGGGUGAAAAACCCGCACGCCGGAAGACCAAGGGUUCCUGUCCAACGUUAAUCGGGGCAGGGUGAGUCGACCCCUAAGGCGAGGCCGAAAGGCGUAGUCGAUGGGAAACAGGUUAAUAUUCCUGUACUUGGUGUUACUGCGAAGGGGGGACGGAGAAGGCUAUGUUGGCCGGGCGACGGUUGUCCCGGUUUAAGCGUGUAGGUGUGUGUUCCAGGUAAAUCCGGAAUGCUUUAACACUGAGGCGUGAUGACGAGGCACCACGGUGCUGAAGUGACAAAUGCCCUGCUUCCAGGAAAAGCCUCUAAGCAUCAGGUAACAUCAAAUCGUACCCCAAACCGACACAGGUGGUCAGGUAGAGAAUACCAAGGCGCUUGAGAGAACUCGGGUGAAGGAACUAGGCAAAAUGGUGCCGUAACUUCGGGAGAAGGCACGCUGAUAUGUAGGUGAAGUGAUUUACUCAUGGAGCUGAAAUCAGUCGAAGAUACCAGCUGGCUGCAACUGUUUAUUAAAAACACAGCACUGUGCAAACACGAAAGUGGACGUAUACGGUGUGACGCCUGCCCGGUGCCGGAAGGUUAAUUGAUGGGGUUAUCCGUAAGGAGAAGCUCUUGAUCGAAGCCCCGGUAAACGGCGGCCGUAACUAUAACGGUCCUAAGGUAGCGAAAUUCCUUGUCGGGUAAGUUCCGACCUGCACGAAUGGCGUAAUGAUGGCCAGGCUGUCUCCACCCGAGACUCAGUGAAAUUGAACUCGCUGUGAAGAUGCAGUGUACCCGCGGCAAGACGGAAAGACCCCGUGAACCUUUACUAUAGCUUGACACUGAACACUGGUCCUUGAUGUGUAGGAUAGGUGGGAGGCUUUGAAGUGUGGACGCCAGUCUGCAUGGAGCCGACCUUGAAAUACCACCCUUUAAUGGCUGGUGUUCUAACGUGGGCCCGUGAUCCGGGUUGCGGACAGUGUCUGGUGGGUAGUUUGACUGGGGCGGUCUCCUCCCAAAGAGUAACGGAGGAGCACGAAGGUUAGCUAAUCCUGGUCGGACAUCAGGAGGUUAGUGCAAAGGCAUAAGCUAGCUUGACUGCGAGAGUGACGGCUCGAGCAGGUGCGAAAGCAGGUCUUAGUGAUCCGGUGGUUCUGAAUGGAAGGGCCAUCGCUCAACGGAUAAAAGGUACUCCGGGGAUAACAGGCUGAUACCGCCCAAGAGUUCAUAUCGACGGCGGUGUUUGGCACCUCGAUGUCGGCUCAUCACAUCCUGGGGCUGAAGUAGGUCCCAAGGGUAUGGCUGUUCGCCAUUUAAAGUGGUACGCGAGCUGGGUUUAGAACGUCGUGAGACAGUUCGGUCCCUAUCUGCCGUGGGCGCUGGAGAAUUGAGGGGGGCUGCUCCUAGUACGAGAGGACCGGAGUGGACGCAUCACUGGUGUUCGGGUUGUCAUGCCAAUGGCACUGCCCGGUAGCUAAAUGCGGAAGAGAUAAGUGCUGAAAGCAUCUAAGCACGAAACUUGCCCCGAGAUGAGUUCUCCCUGACCCUUUAAGGGUCCUGAAGGAACGUUGAAGACGACGACGUUGAUAGGCCGGGUGUGUAAGCGCAGCGAUGCGUUGAGCUAACCGGUACUAAUGAACCGUGAGGCUUAACCUU
rnacentral:rRNA from 1 species